rnacentral:lncRNA from 1 species
GGCGGAGGAGAACUGUCAUUCUGAGGGGCUGGGGUAGGGAAAGCUCUUCAAGUGCGAAUUUCCCCAUUUUAGGCCUCUCUCCUGGCCCCCGGCACAUUUUUUUACCUUUUUCUUCUUCCGUAAACUUCCUGCCAGUGACUAGCUUCCGGUAUGAAAUCAAGCUCUGCGUGAGAGCUGUAAAACCAGAAAAAUGUGGAAAUGGACAGGAGGGCUGUUGUCCAAAAAUGCAAAGGAAAUCUGACGUCCCACCCUGAAGAAAAAUAUCACAAGGCCCAAAAGCAAGGCGUCUCUGAUGAGUCACCUAUGACACCCAAUUGAAAUAGCAUCGCCUUGGCCGGGUGCUCUGGUUUCCACAGAUUAACUUGGUCUGGUUACAGCGGCUGCUUAGGAUCUUCAACUCCCACUGGUGCCUUGCUUUUCUAGCACACCCAGAGAACACCUGUUCCUCACGUGAACAUUACAAGGGGAUCCAA